UACAGAGGGGGCAAGCGUUGUUCGGAAUUACUGGGCGUAAAGGGCGCGUAGGCGGCCUUCUAAGUCGAACGUGAAAUCCCCGGGCUCAACCCGGGAACUGCGUCCGAUACUGGAAGGCUUGAAUCCGGGAGAGGGAUGCGGAAUUCCAGGUGUAGCGGUGAAAUGCGUAGAUAUUGGGAGGAACACCAGUGGCGAAGGCGGCUCACUGGACCGGUUCUGACGCUGAUGCGCGAAAGCGUGGGGAGCAAACGGG
rnacentral:rRNA from 1 species